CCCGGGUGGGCAGCGUGGCGGCCUUCGUGCUCGCCUGGGGCGCGUCCGCCGCGGUGGCCGCCGCGUACGGCUGGUUCCAGUCCGGCAUCCGGCCCC
rnacentral:tRNA from 1 species